AACAUUACGCUGUACACCAGAAACUGACACUUCGUAACUGACUAUACUUCAAUAAAAGCAUUAAGACACAAAAGGCCACAUCUUAAAUGAUUCCAUGUACAUGAACUGUCCAGAACAGGCAAUCCAUACAGACAGAAAGCAGACUGGUGACUGCCAGGGGCCAGGGGGAGGGGAGACUGGGGAGUGACAACUAAUGAGUAUGGGAUUUCCUUUUGAGGUGAUAAAAGUGUUUUGGAAGUAGACAGGGGUGGUUGCACAACAUUGUAAAUGUCACUGAAUUGUUCACUUUAAAAUGGUUAAUUUUAUGAAUUUUAAUUGAAUUUCACUUCAAUUAAAAAAAACCCUGUCUUGGCUUCACAUUAGAUCCUUUAAUUUGCACAACCUUGACUUUCAUUAUGAAAUAGUUCACAUUUUUGCAAAGACCCAGUGAUAAAAAACAUUAUUGUGUUUCUGCAGAGAACAUAAAUUACAACAUUUCUAGGGCAGAGGGGACAAAACAGAGUUCCAAGUCAGAAAGGGAACUCCAUUCAUCUUACGCUUCCUUCUUCUUCUGACAACUCAGUUUGGGGGAAGCCAGCUGCCAUGUCACGAAGACACUCAGGCAACUUGUGGAGACACCCACAUGGCAAGGAACCAAAGCCUCUUGCGACAGGUAGUGUGAAACUAAGGCCAACAAACAUCCUUGGCCACACACAGCCAGUGAUGAAUCCCCAGAUCUCCCCUGCUCUGAGCUCCAGACCCAACACAUCAGCUGCCUGCUGUUCAUUUCCACCUGGAUGUCCUGCAGGACCUUCAUGUUCAAGUUCACAUCCAUUGCCCUUCUCCUCCCGGCCAGCAUCACCUCGCUCCCAAGUCCAGAUUGCCUGGGCUGAACGCCAGUUCUACUCUUUGCUAGCCAAGUGAUCACAGCUAAGUUGUCUCACUUUUCUUUCUGUGUCUCAGUUUCCUCGUCUAUAAAAUGGAGGUGAUAACAGUACCUACCUUACAGGGCUGACUGAGGGUGUUAUUUCAUAAUACUUGUCAAGUGCUUAGGACAAGGCCUGACACAUGUUUGGUGGCUUAGUCUCAGGCAGAGGGGAAGCAGGAGAGUGAUGGAAAAGAGGCCCCUGUGGAGUCGUCGGCAUGACUGUUUUAUUGAUUAAAGUUAAAAAGAUCUCUGUUCCUCCCACUUUGGUGUGCCCUACCUCCACUCAACGGAGCACCGUGUUUGUGUGUGUGUGUGUGUGUGUGUGUGUGUUGUGUGCACAGUGCCCACAGGGCUCCUCCACCUGACGCAGGACUCACUGAUCCAGCCCUCGGGAACUUGGAGACCAUUUCCCCAUCUGUUUCCACUGCUCCAUCCCCACUGACUGAACACCAAGCCACCACCUCUCACCUGAGCUUCUAAAAAGCCUCUCUGGUCUCCAGCCUCUGGUCCCCAUCCAUCCUUCCCACAAACACCCGAGUUCUCUCUCUAAGCUACCCUUCCAAUCACACUGUCCUUACAAGUCUGUCAUUUCCCUGCCCUCUAGGAGAUGAAGUCCGAAUUUCUUGGAGUAGCAGACAAGAUCUUCACAACCAGACGCUGUUCUCGUACCCUGCCUGGGGUAAAAUCUUUUCCAGAAAUCCUCAACAUACUUACUCCUCCAUCUCACUGGCUAAAAUCAACUCACAUGACCACCCCUGACCAACCUCUUGCACAGGGAAAUAGGACUGACAGGAUCAACAGUGACCAGUCACUAUUCAUCUCUUUGCUAAGAGAGCAGGACAACUGUCCAGACAUCCGCCCUCUCUGAGUGUCUGGGGUGAGGCCCAUCCCCAGUCUCGGGAGGUGAAUCAUGACUGUCCUCAUGGGACAUGAGGGAAAGUCUCUUGGGAGGGCUCUGGAUCAGAUCUAUGGGCAGUGAUGCUUUGUAGAGAAUGAUUUGGAAGGGAGCAAAAAAACAGUGGAAAGACCAGCAAGGGAGCCACUGCAGUUACCCUGGGAGAGAAGACGGCGACUCGGGUCAAGCAGUGGCCAAACGGGUGGAGAAGAUAGAGGAAGUUCCAUAGACAUUUGAGUGCCAGGGCCAGCGGGUCCUGCUGAUGGACAGUGAGGGGGAAGAAGGGAGGAAUCAAGGCUGGAUGCCUAGAUGUAUGAGAUGGUUCUGGUUUUUUUUUUCCUUUUUUUUUUGAAUUGAAGUCUAGUCAGUUUACAAUGUUGUGUCAAUUUCUGGUGUACAGCGCAAUGUUUCAGUCAUACGUGUACAUACAUAUAUUCGUUUUCAGAUUCCUUUUCAUUAGAAGAUAUUGAAUAUAGUUCCUUGUGCUAUACUAUAAAUACUGGUUUUUUAUCUAUGAAGAUGGUUCUUAUUUUGAGUGAAAAGACCAGAGCUGGAAGAGGAGGAAGAUUUGUCAGGGAGGAUGAAAGAAUUCCUUUCAAACACGUGAAGUCUGAGACACAGAUGCCACAUCCCAAUAGAGACAUCAAGCAAGCAGAUGGAUCUGUGAAUCCAGAACGCAGAGCAGGGUCUAGGCCAGGGGUAAAAAUUUGAGGAUUUGACUGCAUCAGGAUGGUCUUUCAAACCCCAGAGGUGGUGAGCUCACCUAAAGAGAGAGGAGAAAGAAGAGGAAGGCCAGGACGGAGCCCUGAGCAUCCCCUGCUUUGAGGGGCUGAUGUGACUGAGGAGGGGGCAGGACUGCUGAUGUGAGGGAGAUACCAAGGCCCGGGGCAGCCAGGCCAGUCCUGGAGACCGGGAGGGCCCUCCUGAGGAGACAGCGUUUGAAGUCAGGCUGCCUGCACACAGAGCGGUCGGCUUGGGGAAGAUUGAAGCUGUUAGAAGGAACAGAAGCAAAGACCAGUGUGUCAGUUUCACACAGUAUCACAAACUGAGGGGGCUGAAACGACAGAGGACGGUUCUCCCAUGGUUCUGGAGGCCGGAAGGUCAAAUCAAGCAUUGAAACAGCCCUUGCCUCCCAUCUCCUUGUUCUGUCUCACUUUUCUUGCCUGUUAUCUGAAAUUGUGCACAGUUGUUUGUUUUCAGGCGAGCUAUGCUGGGAUGGUUGUAUUCACCAUCACAUCCUCAGAACCUAGACAGUAUCUGGUACUUGUAGACCCUCAAGUUCAUUGCUGAAAGAACAAAUAAACCGUAUUAAAAAAAAAUAUGCCUAGAAAAUCCUGGAAGAAAUAAUGAUUUCCUGUAUUGGGAAAAGAGUGCUCUCAAUUUGCCUCUAUUUUUCUGCUUUAAAAAUAAAACAUCCUAUCUUGGGGGAGAUGGAAAUGUUCUCCAUCUUGAUUUGGGCAGUGACUACAUAGAUGUAGACCACCGUCAAAACUCGUCCAACAGAAUGCUUAAAAGCUGCAUUGUAUUGUGUUAAUUAUAUCGCAAUAAAAAGUUUAAAAAACAUACAAACAUACUCGUAUAUUUUAAGAGACAAAGAUCUUGCUGUUUUACAGCAUUUAGAACGUAUAACUGUAAACAGGAUAAAAUAAGUGGAGAUGUGAAAACGUAGCAGACAUAGAUAUUGAAUCUAUAUCGUAAGUUAAAUGUGACUUGUGAUAAAGUGAAUAUAAAGAAAAAGCUCUUGGAAGAUAUUUGCACACACACACACCAGUUUAUACGUCCCAAAUUAACACUGCUUCAUAAUAUCACUCAGUAGUUUAUGAAAAUCUUGUUCUAGGCCCUCUCUCUCCCCUGUUUAUUCUGUUAAUAAAUUGGAGCCACACAUUAAGCCGAUCCCUCCAGAAUCUGA